rnacentral:miRNA from 1 species
UGGCAGUUACUUUUGCACCAG